rnacentral:piRNA from 1 species
UAGCCUUCAAGGUUCCAUUGCUCGGUGUGU